GUUAUCCGCUUCCAUCCGUCGCGCAGACCCUGCCGGAGCCGCUGCCGCUAUGGAUGAUCGGGAGGAUCUGGUGUACCAGGCGAAGCUGGCCGAGCAGGCUGAGCGAUAUGACGAAAUGGUUGAAUCAAUGAAGAAAGUAGCAGGAAUGGAUGUGGAGCUGACAGUUGAAGAAAGAAACCUCCUAUCUGUUGCAUAUAAAAAUGUGAUUGGAGCUAGAAGAGCCUCCUGGAGAAUAAUUAGCAGCAUUGAACAGAAAGAAGAAAACAAGGGAGGAGAAGACAAACUAAAAAUGAUUCUAGAAUAUCGGCAAAUGGUUGAGACUGAGCUAAAGUUAAUCUGUUGUGACAUUCUGGAUGUACUGGACAAACACCUCAUUCCAGCAGCUAACACUGGCGAGUCCAAGGUUUUCUAUUAUAAAAUGAAAGGGGACUACCACAGGUAUCUGGCUGAAUUUGCCACAGGAAAUGAUAGGAAGGAGGCUGCAGAGAACAGCCUAGUGGCUUAUAAAGCUGCUAGUGAUAUUGCAAUGACAGAACUUCACCAACGCAUCCUAUUAGUUUAGGUCUUGCUCUCAACUUUUCUGUAUUCUACUAUGAAAUUC